rnacentral:misc_RNA from 1 species
GACGGAGGGUGCAAGCGUUAUCCGGAAUCACUGGGCGUAAAGCGUGUGUAGGCGGUUUGGAAAGUCGGGGGUUAAAAUUCCAUGCUCAACAUGGAAGCUGUUCUCGAUACUGCCAAGCUAAGAAGAGUGCAGAGGCAAGCGGAAUUCUGAGUGUAGGGGUAAAAUCCGUAGAUACUCGGAGGAACGCCAAAAGCGAAAGCAGCUUGCUGGGCAUUUCUUGACGCUGAGACACGAAAGCGUGGGGAGCAAACAGG